GAGCGUCCAUUCACGACCGGGAGCACAGAGGACAAAUACGUCCACCAUCCAUCUUUUCCAUCCAUCCAUCCAUACAUCCAUCGGAGCGAGAUUCACGCCGGGUUCCGAGUUUUUUUUCUGUUUGUGUGGGAAUAUUUAUCAAAACAUGGCGGAGCGGUGAUGUGAGGCUCGACACACGGCCACACACUGUGUUGACUCGCCGCCCUUCCCACAACUGUUCGUCACGCUCGUCCUCACAAUAUGAUGCUCGUUGUCAAGGCAACUGACGGUGACACAGAGGAACUUUUUAUGAAUUUCUUAUCCUGAAAACAGACUUUGGUUCAAAACUAAACAAAACAGAGAGAUGCAGCUGGAUUUAAAGACCCUGAAUAGUAAUGAUUAUGAGGUCUGAUGAGAACAAACUAUUUUACAACAUAUUUUCAGCAGUUUUUGUUAUUCAUUUGGCAUCAGAGAUUUAUUUCCUUUUCUGUCUGGGCUCUUUUUAUCGGUUUGAAGUCGGUGUUGGAAAAAGGUGACGCUGACCUCAGUUAAACAGAUCAGCCAGAUUUUUGCCUGUUGAUUAAAAAACAGAGCCGUGAUUUUGAGUUGUGUCUCGUUCAGUUCUGGUUACUUGAGAUUUGAAACUAGGCACUCUGGGGUAUUUAAAGAGUGAUGUUUCUCCUCUGAACACCACCUGACCUUUCCCUCACCUCUGCUCGGCUGAGACUGUUGUUCUGUCCUGCCACAGGGUGGUGUACACAGGGAGGGUGGAGGGUGUGUGCUCACAGUCAAUAGUCUGCUCUCCCCCUGAUUGCUUCGCAUUAAUAAUAAAGUGUCUUUCUAUUUCACAGGGGGGGUCGGCUCGGAUCGACGAUGGAGAGUGAUUAAUUCUGAGUGCCCUGCAGAGCUGCCGCCCGGCGCUCAGAUAGAUUGAGGUCUAUUUACACAUCCUGUGAUCGCACUGUGCUGCUGUGAGCUGAAGGUUUCACCGCUCAGACAGAAACGCUGGCUCGCUUUGUCGGCCACCGGCUGAUUUCCUGAUGCAGCUGAAAGAUUUACACAUAGCAGAGCUCGUUCGAGAGCGUAUCGCAGCCACAGAUCAGGAUGAACGGACACUCUCGGCCCUGCACACGUCUGCGAGGGAGGAUUUCAAUCUGCGGCUGCCACGGUCACAGUCAGGGCUCAUGGAGGAGGCAGCCGACCGCGGUAAUGGACCUGAGACAAAUCCUGACAUUUGAGGACAUGAUCUUUCACCAUUUUAUGACAUUUUACAGACCAAACGACUUAUUGAUUAACCGAAAAGAUAAUCAGCAGAAGAUGACACAACUCAUUAGUUGCACUCCGGAAGUUUUACAUAAAGAGCUGUGGCCUCCUCGCACUUCACCAGCGAGGGGCCUCGCUGCGAACCACUGGCACCGUGGGAGCAAAGAGAAGCCAGCUGGCUGUGAGAUUAUUCAGGAAGAAAAGCGAUCGACUGAGGAGGAAAGGGGGGCGUCCAGCUCGGAUAAGAACGACCGACCCAAAGCGCAGGAAUGUUGUGUAAAAGCCCAAAGCCUGUUUUGUUUGGAUGAUGAGAUGUAAACAGGAAUCGUGACAUUGCUGUGUGGUGUAAACAUCUGAAGAAAGAGAAUUUCUCAAGCCCAGCGGGAGCGCUUUAACAUAUUCAUCCGACCUUGUUGUUUCACGGUCGACCGAGCGCCUACUUCUGUGUAUUGAUCCGGCGAUCGGCUGCCGAGCCGGGCGGAGAGCGACGUGAUGGAGCAGCAACACAGCGUCUCUUUGUCCUGCACGACUUGAUCGUGUGUCCAAUCAAACUGCUGCUGGUCUACAACCAUCAACAUCCGAGUGAUGCGAUGGAAGAGUCAGAUAGAUGGAGAGAGGAAGGAGAAGACAGAGCUGCUAAUGACGCUCCUCCGUCCUCUAGCCCGUGACCCAGAAAUCGAUGGAGGUCCUCCAUCAUUAAGGAUGUUACGAUAGCUUAAAUGAGUCCAAGGAGACGAGGAAAGAGAAUAUUGCAACAUCACUUCAUAUCGUUUGGAUCAUAAUUACAAGCAGCCGAGUGGAAAAAACUCCACAUCAGCUUCCGACUCAUGAAUUUGAGUCAGAGGUAUCAGGAAUAGCUACCUUGAAAGGGGCUGUACAUAGUAUAUUUAUUAAAAUCGGCCUAUCUGCAUCGUCGUAUAUGUUGUCGGAUAUGAUAUUUUACACAAUGUUUUGCAGAAAAAGAUUGGAGGGGUAUUGUAUAUGGAAUUCUACUGGAACAAUAUUGGUAUCAAUACCUCAAUAAAUCCUACAUCCAAUCAUUUGAAAUGUUCCAUAGAAAUCUCUGUCGUGAGCAAGGAUGUCCUAAGUUGUGACUGACGUCAGCGAGGAGCCAUGUGAGCCAAAUGGAAAGCACCCAGAGACGUCACUCCCGUCUCCAUUAGGGUCCAUCACUGAGUCCCGGUUGCACAGGCCGGGCAUCUGUCGCCCAACAUAAGCCUGCAAGGAUUAACACAAUACUCAACAUAGGAGCAUGUCGGGCCACAGGAGGACAUGCCCCGCAAAACUACACCGCCCUAAUGUCCCGAGAACAGCACGACUGGCACCCUGAGCACCAGCGGUGGAGAGCAGUCUGAGUAUUUCUAUUUAAAGCAUCUUUUAUACUUUUUACUUCACUCCAUUUAUGUGAUAGGUAAAGCUACUUGGAACCUUUCAGAUUAAGAUUUCGCAUAAAACCACAUCUGUUUAUAAACUGACGCUUCUGAAUUGAGUCGUACAAUAAGUUAGUGUCGUAAAAACUGCGUGCUAGUUGAAGUAUAACCUGUAGGAAAAAAACAUUUCAGACUUUAUUUUGGAGGAAAGUCACUGAAGUUUUUAAGCAUUUUUAUGAAUAAUCUUAAUUAGAUUUGACUGGUCAAUCUAUUCAUGCAUAUUUUUACUCAUACUUUUAUGUCCCGGUGACCACUGGAAGUGAACUUAUGGCUCUCUCCCAGUUCAUUUAGAUCGGGGCCCGGUCCUUUUAAGCCCAAAAUAACUGCCUGGGGGCUUUGCCAAAAUGGCUGCAGAGUGCCAAGAUUUGCCUGAGAGGACUUUGACCGGCCAAAAAAAUUGAUAGAAUUCAGAUGUGAUUCAUUAUUAGGAGUUCCACUAAAGGUCCUGGUCCCUCCAUGCAUCCAGUGGCCCAGAAGGGGAGAGCUGAUGUUUACACCACUAGCACAGGAAUGUUGGACUGGGUCAGGCUGUGGUGUAGCUGGUUAGCAUGCCAACUUAUUCAGGUAUCUACAUAACACACAGGUGUCAUGCCAUCAAAACUUGCAUUUCUUCACAUUCUGUUGAUGUCUUACAUACAUCACCUUUGACCAUCUAAUAAUGGUUAAAUACUAUUUAAACUUAGAUUUUGAUUGCAGGACUUCAAGUAUUAUUACAUUGUGAUAUUUGUACUUUACUUACAAGGUGAAAUAUUUAAAACAAUUUGUUUAAAUAUAUAAGUAUACUAAAAACUAUAACUAAAGUUCUCAACAAAAUGUGAAGAAAUCUGUGUAGAAGACAUCCAUGCAUUUUGUUGCAUAGACAUUUAUUAAAGUUAGCAUGCUACUCGCUAGCCUGUAGCCACUUUACACCUUAAGAGGAGAUAGUGUGAUAGUAAACAACACCAACACGGCACUCUGAGCUCCCACUCUGGACAGAAUCAGCUAAUAUGCCCACUAACUGCACAGUUAACUGAAGUUACUAGCUAACGGUAGCUACAGUUAGCAGUAGUUAGUGGUUGCAUUUUGUUUUUAGGAUGAAUUUGAUUUACAUUGUGCACAUUUAAGUAAGCGAUCUGAAUACAUCUUCUGCCUUCACUGAGCCCAACCACUGAUGGCGGGGUCUGACACCCGCUGGGAACCAAAUGUCAGUAAAAUCUGCCUUCAGUGGAUAAGAAGGUAACCGUUGCCUGCCGUGCUGUACACAUUUACAUGUACAUGUCUUGUUUAAAGGGAUUUCUGUUGCACUUCUUGAUGAAUUACAAGCUUGAUGUAGUGUGAACAAGAUUUAAAUGAACAACUGGGGUGAGAAAAUUGAUAGGCCGAGGGUGCAGUGAAAAUACACGGCUCAUUAUUUACUCUGGCUGAUAGAAACGGCUCCUGGCAGCUCUUUUUUUUUUUUAGUUUAGCAGAUGCUGGAAGCUGAGUUGGACAUUUAAUUUCAGGGGACAGCGGUGCAGGUGGUCACAGCCGAGAGACUGCACCUGACGGGGUGAGCGAUGGUUCGACUCCAGCGCUGCUGUGUCAUGUUCAGAGAUAUGAGAGGCCGAAACACAGUCACAGUGCGGCAUUAACUUCUGCUAAUCCGCAACUACGGGCCGAGGUCUUUGUCAGCACGAUAGCUUUAGAGCUCGCCCGUCAACACUGGAGCGUUAAAAAAGCAGGGGGAUCAUGUUUUUUCAGGCGCUGUGAUAAGAGGUCGGAGUUUUUUCGCAUGAACUCACAGGCCACUGCAGAACAUGAACAAGUCGAAGUGGCAGGAGCUCUGCAGAGGUGUUGAGUUCAUCCAUCAGGAGGAAGAGUGACGGAUUCGUCCCAGAAUAUGGAGACAGAGGGAUACGGCCAGCUGGUCGUGAUAAAGCUGGAAGGUGACCGGGCUUCUGCGGUCAGGGUCCUUCAGCUUUGGAAAUCCCUGCUUGUAGAACUGAGGCUGCUGAAUCAUCCUUUGAAAGUGCAGUGCGCAGGAUUCAGGGGGAUUGAUUAGAAUAUAUUGUUCAUAAUUAUGUUUUCAUCCUUGUAUUAUCGCUGGAAAUUAGAAUCUUUGUGUUUUCGUCACUUUAGAAUGAGACUUUUUGUAUCUACAAAGAUUUUUUGUUUAUAUUAUAGUUUCUCAUUUAUUAUAUUGUAUUUCCUGGAUUUUAUUUAAUUGAGGUGCUGUUCUGAUAUCAUUUUGCCUUUCCUGUGUAACUGAAGGUGGUUCAUAUAUAAAAGCUUAUUAUUACUAAAAAGGUAAUUUAUUGAAAUGUGGACAUUGUAAAUCGACAGCGUACCCAAAAUUUUCACUUAUCCCAGUUUAAAAAAAUAAUAAAAAUGAAGGAGCUACCAACACAAUAAUGACAAAAAAAUAUCACAUCAUAUCUUUUUAUAAAAUUGUGGUGAUUUUGUUGGCAAACAGCUACACAUUUGCACAUCCAGACACAGAGAGAGUCCUAUUUGUGUAAAAAAAAAAUUACUCUUUUAGCUCCAUUUUUGGUCUCCACCAUCUCCGAAGGGGAAUAUCUGACGCUUUAGCUACUAACUGCUUCAUUGUGUUCACUGACUAGUUGCUAACUACUCGCUAACACAGAUGUGAUUUAAAACACAACUCACAAAAACAAGGAGCUAAAAGACACUAAAACAAUAAUGUAAUGAUCUAAAAUGUUUCGCCUGACGUUCGGUGAACAAGAUAAGUGUCAUAAAUACUGUGAUAUAAAGGUUGCAUCGUUCUGUAGUUCUGUAGUGUAGAGACCAAAUGUUAACAUGAGUGUCACGGAAACCUGGUCAAAGAUUCAGUGUGAUAACUGAAGAGAUCGAAAUCAAAAUAUAUCUGGACAAGCUAUUAUUUUGCACAGUCAUUUGAAGGAUCAAUUCACACAAAUAAAAAGAAAAUAUAUUGUACAACUGCACAAUAAAUGGAUUUUGAAUGGCCAAGUACAAUAUCCACAUUGCAGAAGUCGCAUUUUUUAGAUUCACAAUCAUGAAAUACUGUAGUGCUCUCUAACAUUGCGUAUUGCAAUCAUAUUAUUUGUCCCUGCAUUGUGUUAAAGUUGAGGUUCACACUGUAACACCUCUGAACAUACAACCAGAACUGCCUGUUAUCUAACCAUGCAGACAUGUUUUUAUAAUGCGUGACAAACCCUGUAAAGUUGACCUUUUGAAUAUAUAAAGCUUAUUUUCUACUUCUUCUGCACUCAUAUUUGCAAACCAUAAAACAAGAAGUAUGUUCCUUUUAUAGUUUGCUGAAGUGAAACUGCAGCGAGCGCACAAAUCAUAAACAGGAAACCCAUUUGUUUAAGCAACUCCCUGGGGCUGCAAUGAAAAGGUCAAAGAGGUUGACAUAUCUAAAAACUUUACAUCUGCUUCUGGACUGCAUUUGUCUUGUUGUUCCCGGCUCACACGCUCUCCCCCUGACCUUAUCUCGUGUCUCAGGAGGUCGUUUUUCACCUGGUUGGUGAACUGUGGGGUUGAGGGGGGGAUCGGGUGGCAGCGUUUAUGCACCCUGCUCUCUAAAAUCCGGGCGUCAGCUGCUCGCAGCUCUCUGCCGCUUUGCUUCCGCAAAACUUCUACAUGCGUUGCAGCUUCCUGCUGACUCAGUGUUAUCAACUGCCUCUUUUUAUGUUAUCGCCUGAUGUGUUUCUCAGCACAGGAUGUCAGCUGCGUUUCAUAAGAUGGGCCUGUGCCAACUCAGCUAUGACCACUCUCCGCAGGGAGGAAUUCAAGAAUGUCUAUAAUCUGGUGUUUAUACGACAGAGGAGGGCUGUUGUUCCUGUGUGCAUCACCCUUCUCCCCUACAUUUUCUACUUAAUCUCGACAAAAAUGUUCUGAACAGAUGGUGACAAGCACUUUCUUCUCUUAAGUUCCUGCUGAGGAAGUUCAGGCUGCCUGUAGAGGAAAAGAUAAAAUGCCCGCACAUUGCUUUUCUAAUUCCUACGUUCUUUUUUUUUCAUUUCACAUGAACUUGAUGACCCUACAUCUUGUUCUCGAAGCUCUUUAACAUGGAUCUGUGUGUGUGUUCAUGUGCUCUGUCAAUCACGUCCAUAUGCCUAUACUAUACUGUCAUCUGUAUCAACACCUGACACAUCAGCUAUCAACCCAUCAUGAUGCUCCAACCGCACAUUUACAGCUUAAUUGCACAUCUUCAUUGACGCUGUUUUAUCGCCUGGCCCCCACCAUUCAAGACUCCAUAAGCAAAAUCAUGGAUUUUACUUCAACCUCAAUAUUCACAGAGUCUAGACCAUCCCAGUCAUCCUGCCCAGAGUGGAUGAUACUGGCUCUAAUUGCCCCUUCAUCGGGCUACUGGACUGCAAGACAAAGGGAGGAGGAGGAGGAAGAGGAAGAGGAGGAGGAGGAGGAGGAGAGGGCGGUGAGGGGGAGCAUUUACUACACAAUCAAGGCGCAUUCACGCAGCAGAAAGAUUAAUUAGCCGCAUGUUGUGAUUAUUUUCAUGUCGUCCACUGACUCCGCACGCGUGGAAAGAGGAGUGGCAAUUUUUCUUGUGGCCCAGCCGGUGCUCAGCAGCUGGAGGCUGGGUGGGUGGCUGGGUGGGGAGGGGGGCGAGGUGGUACAGAUGCCCUGUUUAAACGGGAGCAGCUCUGCCCUUUUUCU